CAGUCGCCGCGGUAAUACGUAGGGCGCAAGCGUUGUCCGGAAUUAUUGGGCGUAAAGAGCUCGUAGGCGGUCUGUCGCGUCUGGUGUGAAAUCCCGAGGCUCAACCUCGGGCUUGCAUCGGGUACGGGCAGACUAGAGUGCGGUAGGGGAGACUGGAAUUCCUGGUGUAGCGGUGGAAUGCGCAGAUAUCAGGAGGAACACCGACGGCGAAGGCAGGUCUCUGGGCCGCAACUGACGCUGAGGAGCGAAAGCAUGGGGAGCGAACAGGAUUAGAUACCCCGGUAGUCCCUGUCUCUUAUAC
rnacentral:rRNA from 1 species